AGAUGUCGACGACCAUCUCCUCCUCCCAUUGGUUCGUCGGCCCCAGAACGGCAGCAUCCUCCUCCCGCUGACCGUUCACCUUUCGGAAAGCCUGCCGCACCUCCUCCCGCGGCAGGCUUUUCCA
rnacentral:sRNA from 1 species